UACGUAGGGUGCGAGCGUUGUCCGGAAUUAUUGGGCGUAAAGAGCUCGUAGGCGGCUUGUCGCGUCGUUCGUGAAAACCCGGGGCUCAACUCCGGGCCUGCAUUCGAUACGGGCAGACUAGAGUUCGGUAGGGGAGUCUGGAAUUCCUGGUGUAGCGGUGAAAUGCGUAGAUAAUCAAGUGGAACACCAGUGGCGAAGGCGGAAAUCCCUGGAAAACUACCGUGAAGCACUC
rnacentral:rRNA from 1 species